rnacentral:rRNA from 1 species
UUCGCUGACGAGUGGCGGACGGGUGAGUAAUGUCUGGGAAACUGCCUGAUGGAGGGGGAUAACUACUGGAAACGGUAGCUAAUACCGCAUAACGUCGCAAGACCAAAGAGGGGGACCUUCGGGCCUCUUGCCAUCGGAUGUGCCCAGAUGGGAUUAGCUAGUAGGUGGGGUAACGGCUCACCUAGGCGACGAUCCCUAGCUGGUCUGAGAGGAUGACCAGCCACACUGGAACUGAGACACGGUCCAGACUCCUACGGGAGGCAGCAGUGGGGAAUAUUGCACAAUGGGCGCAAGCCUGAUGCAGCCAUGCCGCGUGUAUGAAGAAGGCCUUCGGGUUGUAAAGUACUUUCAGCGGGGAGGAAGGGAGUAAAGUUAAUACCUUUGCUCAUUGACGUUACCCGCAGAAGAAGCACCGGCUAACUCCGUGCCAGCAGCCGCGGUAAUACGGAGGGUGCAAGCGUUAAUCGGAAUUACUGGGCGUAAAGCGCACGCAGGCGGUUUGUUAAGUCAG